UCUGGCUUGUUCCUCCUUGUGAUUGUAAAAAUUAUUUCCUGGGAAAGAAAUAUGAUUGUAUAUUAUCUUCUAAAAGUUUUGACUUGAAUGAUUGCUCUGGAACUGGAAAAGAAAGCAGCAACUUUUACUCAUGGUAUAAAUGCUCUUACAGACAUAGGUUAAAAUUUAAAAUUGCCUUGUAGCCAAAGAGCUGAAAUGUUUGUGGUUCAGGUUUACCCUAGUGACUGAAUAUUAUUCUCUCACAUUUGAUGUCAACUAAGCAAGAGCUGUGAUAAGAACAGCACUUUGUGAUUGUGUAACACAGCAUUGAGUACCUUUAAGUGCUGGGCAGGUGUAGAACAAGUCAGAGAAAUUGAAGAGUUGAGACAGUGUUAGAAUGAUCCAUGGGGAGGCCGAAUGAGAAGGAAUCCUGAGCACAAGAUGAGGGACGGAUUUACCUUACUUGGGAAGAAAGAUACCUUUUUCACUAAUUUGGGAAUGAAAGAAGCUAUGGAUGGGAAUAUAGAUUGGUUUAUAGGUAGGGAGUGUUCAGAGGAUGAAGCAGUAUCAACUCAGUGCUUGUAUUUUCGUGAUGAAAUAAAGUACAGCAUUAUCUACAGACUGUGUGGAGGCACGAGGAUGGAGUGGGGGACUUGAGCAGAGUGAAUUUGGGGAAGGCAGUGUGGAAAGUGUGACAGAACAUGCUCUUGAGAAAUAGAAGAAUGAUCUGCUAUGGAGAGUUCCAUGGACAGGUGUGCUCAUGACUUCAUAAUUAUAACAGUGGCCAAAGCUCUGUGGACUUCUCCAGCAAUGUUCAGCACCUUGGUCCUCAGAAGGCUGGCAGUCUCCAGGCUAGAUAUGGAGCUGGGGAUGGGAGACUCAAAGAACAGCCUUCUUUGAGUAACCUAACCAGUCAAAGAGAAAAGACACAGAGAUACUGAUGUUGCUGAUUGUGACCCUUCUGCCAUGAAGCCCCCAGCCCCACUCAUGCUCUUUCAAGUCUCUGGUUGGCUUUUUAAUAUCCUUCUCUUAAAUACAUGCUGACAGCCCAAGAUUGGCAGAUACUUGAAGAAAGACUCUACCUAAAUGAUGCAGACCAAAACUAAUCAACAGUGAAACAGGGAAUUUGUAGAAAACAGAAACCAUAUAGGAAAAAAUAACUUAAAAGAGAAAAGUAACUAUCAUUAAUCUUAGGAAGCUUUUAAAGCAUGUUUUUCAGCAACAAUGAAGUGGGCAUCCUACCUCUUGGUGACCAACCCACCUCCAUCUCUCUGAUGAUGAGCCCAAGUACUGGAUGUGUUCAACUUCACUAGUUUAGACAGGGUCUGGAGUGAGAUGGUUCUGGGAAGUGGAGGCAGAAAAGCCAAUGGUCUUAUUCACAUGAACCUGGUCCACCAACUACAGCUGCUAAAUCAGGGGAUGAGAUGAACAGAGGAUGAGGGCCUGAGCAGCUCAGUUUCCAGACAGCAUGGAGGGCUGGCAGUUCUGACUGCUUUAUGCAUAUGCACUUAAUUUGCUUCCCUGGUCCUUCUAAGUGGCAACUCAUUAACACCUCCAGGCUGAGGGCUCACAUUUUAUACUCUAGUUGAAUAUGCAGUAGCAUAAUGGAAUGUCUACUAUGGCUGCCUCUCUGGAAAAGCUGCCCUAUUUAUUCAGCCACCCUGGAGAAAAGUGGCAGAUUUUUUCUUGCAGUGGCAAGAAAUACCCGUAUGCUGCUUUUAAACACCUUGGAGGUUUAACUUUUUAAAUGUUAUUCAUUUAUGCUACUUUGUAACAUUAUAUGUUAUAUUAAUGUUACAUAUGUAAUGAUACAUGAUAUUGGGAGGACAGAUAUUAUUAUUGUCCUCACUUGGCAAAUGAGAAAACCAAGAUAUAGAGAUGUACAAAUGAUUUGCCUGCAGUCACACAGCUCAACAAGGAUGAGGCAGGGAAGUCUACCUUGACUGUAAACCUUGAGUUCUCUCUACCACAUCACAUAAUUAUGAAUUUACAAUUAUAUUUGCUUGUUUCCAUGUGAGUCUAACCCAGUUUAGAACCAGCAGAGGAACAGAAAGAUGGUAUGGCAUUGCUGAGAGUCUGUGAAAGAAGCCAUUAAGGUACGGAAAAAUUGAGAUGUAUGACCAAUGACAUUGAAAACAUUAAAAAUUUCCUAGAGUGAGAUUCUUCUCCAGUAAGAAGCUUGGAUGAUCUGAGCCCCGGUACUGGGAGUGGGAUGCAGAGCUGAGCGCUACAAAUGUAGUUAUAAGCCGCAGAGUUUCCUUCAUCACAGGACACUGAUCACGGGAAGUUUGGGGCCGAGUGAGAAAUAGGCUUUAUCUCUUAUGACUACAUUCAGCAAGUGGAGAAUGAUUCUGGGGCAAAGUCCAGGUGCAGCAGGAAAGAGUACCAUGAUCAAUUUGCAGUGUCUGUCGAGGACUCAGGAGGGCUUUGAAAGCUGUGGCUAAGAGUGUGUCAUCCCAAGGCAGGAGUCUGUCAGAUGCUUCCUCCAGGAUGAUAGAGCUCUCUGCCCUCCCUCCACUUGCUUAAAAGCAAAACAUAGAUUUACAAAGGCAAAAGAUACCUUGUCCCCUCUCCACCAGGGUGAACACAGGUUAACCACUGAAGACAGCUUUAGACCUUCACCACCUGGAAAUGAUACCGGAGGGAUUUAUAUUAACAAGCUUUACAAACCAGCCUUUAUCUGCCAUUUGUUUACCUUUCCGCACAUUGCCAGCUGUAGAGAUUCAAAGCCCUUUUCCUUUGUCUUGUCACUUCUCUAAAAAUGUACUGUUUUUUGAAAAUGCUACUUAAGCUGGAAUUCAAAGCCACUUCUUCAAGAACUACUCAUUCUCUGGGUAUCUCUCACAUAUAUGUGACAUAUGAAUGUUAAUAAGCUUCUAGUUGUUUUUCUCUUGUUAAGCUGCCUUUUGUAACAGGAGUCUGUUUCAUCUGCAAACCUAUGGGGGUUACUAUUUUUUGCCUACAUCACUAUCAUACUUCUUGUUGUGUGUAUGUUAGUGCAGGCAUGUGAGGAUAUGAGUGUUUUGUUGCCUCCUCUUUGCCCCGCUGGUGAAAGAGGGAGUGUUGCCCUAAGACUCUGAGAAUAGCCAAGCACACAACACCUGACGUUGGACCCAUGCGAUUGACAGCAGUUCAUUAGUCACAUAUACUGACAGCCUGGGGUAGAAGGCACUGCAUACCCUGCAGGACCACACAGGGGUUAUACUCAACAGAAUGAACAAACAGGGCUUUGGGAGGCAGGCUGUGUUGUGACAAGGGGGUGAGGUGGCCCCUGAUUCCUGUGGGAGGGUGUACUUUGUUGUUUGAAUAAUUCCAUGGGCUGGUAGGGAGGUGAAACCUGUUAUUUUAGGUUGAGGGCCAGGUUAAUGCAACUGAGCUGGCUGAUAGAAGAAUCUUCCCUACUGGGUGCAGGGCAAGGGGCACAUCUGACAAGAGGAGGGGGACACAAAGUUAGGCCUCCAGGACUCUGUGAGGCUCAAAGAUUUCAAGGCAGCUCCAGAAAUUUUAAGCCUUCCAAUACAGCAUGUGUAAAAGGGGGUGAGGGAGAUAGUGAGCAAGAUGAAUAAUCCUCGAGAGUUUAGUAGAAAAUAAAGAAGGGUAAGCAGAUUAUUACUUACUAUGAUAAAUGUUAGGGUAUGGGAAUGUUCCUGUGGGGACCUGUAAGCAGGACAUCUAAGAUUUGGAUUUUGUUUUUGAGGGGAUGAGGCCAAGAAAAGUAACAUUUUACCAGUGGUGUGCUGGUUGAGAGGAGCUGGCAGUAUCCGGGUCUUUCAGACUCCUAAGCCAAGCUCCUCUCUCUGCUAUACCAGAAUGCCUUCUCCUUCCAGAUUUAUCACAUUUAUUAGCACCAUGCUUGACACAUGGUAGAAAUUCAAUGAAUCUCUUUAGCAGGAAUGUAUUCCUUAAAGCAAGUCUAAAGGUAUGUGGUGAAGCUCAACCAAAGGAAGGCAGGGAAGG
rnacentral:lncRNA from 1 species